rnacentral:rRNA from 1 species
AUGGACAAGGUCCAGAUGGGGUGGUCUACUAUGGACAAGGUCCAGAUGGUGCUGCCGAAGAAGAGUGACAUCUUGGCGGGGGACACGCCGCAGGUGGCAGCGUCGAAGGCUGAUCUCCAGAGGUACAGGGAGAUGUACAAGAAGCCACUGCCUGGGAAAUUCAUCGCCGCGGUUGAAGCCCUGAUCGAUGCUUCUAGCUGCCAGAAAGGGGCGUGCAAGUCAGGGGGCUUAAACAACCCAGCGAAGAGAAGGGCGAUUCAGAUUUUUGCUGCUGAGCUUAAGUGCAGUGUUGUCUGUCUUCAAGAGACGGAGAUCAGUGACAUGGCUCGAAGCAUUGUGGUGGACACACUAGGGCCACGCUUCGCCGAUAACUUCAUCUCACUACUGGCUGUUGGCUCAAGGGGGGGGGGGGUAUUCUCAUUGCAUGCUCCGACGACUACGAGAUUGCGGCAGAGCGUCUGGCGGCCGGUGAAUUCUCGAUCUCUGGGACAAUUAGGAGAAGGGCUGAUAGAGUUUGCUGGUCGAUCACCGGCGUUUAUGAUUGUGGCUCAUGCAUGGGCAAAAGAGGUCAAGUCCAGAGACCCAAUCAGGGUACUGCACACCAAAAUGUCAAGGACAGCAAAGGCUCUCAGAAUUUGGAGCAAGCAGAAGAGGAGAUGGGCCGUCUUCAUGUCCGGGUUAGCUAACGAGGUCAUCUUCAGACUAGAUCUGGCUCAAGAGGAGAGGGCACUUUCCGAGGAGGAGAGACACCUGAGAGGUCUGCUCAAAGCUAAGCUGCUGGGUAUUGCGGCUGUCGGCAGGGCUAGGUGGCGGCAAAAAUCCAGAAUAACUGAGAUAAAAGAGGGGGACGCUAGUACCCGAUUUUUCCACCUAAGAGCGAGUGGCCUCCAGCGGAAGAAUCACAUCCCAGUCCUUCUGGGAAGAGAUGGGCCAGUCUCCAACCAUGUUGGGAAGGCUGACAUCCUCAGAGAUCGGUUCAAAAACCUGAUGGGCACGCCUUUGCCUUUGGGAACGCGCGUGGCCAGAUUCCGGGCGAGUUUUUAUGCCAAUGAUGCUGCGCUCUUCAUCAACCCGGGGCAAGAAGAGAUUAUUGCUGUCCAGGACAUCCUGGAAAUGUUUGGGAAUGCCUCUGGACUCAAAACAAACAUGGCAAAAUCAGUGGCGUACCCAGUUGCUUUCCAGGACAGGGAUUUGCAACAAUUGUUGGUUGAUGCUGGGAUUGUGCAAGGCUCCCUUCCCUGCCAAUACUUGGGAUUGCCCCUUUGGGAUUCGAAAACCAAAGAGAGUUGA